AGUGGGGAAUAUUGCACAAUGGGCGGAAGCCUGAUGCAGCAACGCCGCGUGAGGGAUGACGGCCUUCGGGUUGUAAACCUCUUUUAGCAGGGAAGAAGCGAAAGUGACGGUACCUGCAGAAAAAGCGCCGGCUAACUACGUGCCAGCAGCCGCGGUAAUACGUAGGGCGCAAGCGUUAUCCGGAAUUAUUGGGCGUAAAGAGCUCGUAGGCGGUUUGUCGCGUCUGCUGUGAAAUCCCGAGGCUCAACCUCGGGUCUGCAGUGGGUACGGGCAGACUAGAGUGCGGUAGGGGAGAUUGGAAUUCCUGGUGUAGCGGUGGAAUGCGCAGAUAUCAGGAGGAACACCGAUGGCGAAGGCAGAUCUCUGGGCCGUUACUGACGCUGAGGAGCGAAAGGGUGGGGAGCAAA
rnacentral:rRNA from 1 species